rnacentral:lncRNA from 1 species
AGCCUCGUUGGCCCGGGUCUGCGCUGGCCUAGUAGGUAGUAGGCUGCUCCUGAGUUCGCCUGGCUGGGCCCGAACCUAAAACGCUCAGUUGACCCGCGGGCUUAGAAACUUUUUUUUCUCCUUUAUAAUGAAAAUAACAUGUAAUAAGUUUUAAAAAAAAAAAUCCAUAUCUCUUAAUUGUUUCCGAAAUCGAAACAAGCAAAUAAAAUAUGCAUUAUGGCUAGAAAAAUAUUUCAAACAAAUUUACGGCAUUUGUUUUCAAAUUUGAACAAGUUAAAAUUCGAACCUCGUUAAAAUUCAAAUUACAUUGAAAAUCAUCAACGAGCAUAAUUUAUCAAAAUUACACAAAUAGUGAACUAUUGGACAAUCUUGUCUUUUUUCUUUGUUGUCUUCUCUUUCCUCUUAUACGUUUGGACCUCAUCGUGGCUGCUUCUGGCGUAGGCCCCGUCUUGUGUGGGUAAUUUUGACUUCUUUCUUAUCUGGAUCGCCCGUCUUGCCACCUCUCCUUCUUGCCUGGUCGUGG